rnacentral:rRNA from 1 species
AACGCGAAGAACCUUACCAACCUUUGACAUGUCCAGUAUGGAUGUAAGAGAUUACGUCCUUCAGUUCGGCUGGCUGGAACACAGGUGCUGCAUGGCUGUCGUCAGCUCGUGUCGUGAGAUGUUGGGUUAAGUCCCGCAACGAGCGCAACCCUCAUCUUCAGUUGCCAUCAGGUCAGGCUGGGCACUCUGAAGAAACCGCCGGUGACAAGCCGGAGGAAGGUGGGGAUGACGUCAAGUCCUCAUGGCCCUUACAGGUUGGGCUACACACGUACUACAAUGGUGGUGACAGUGGGUUGCGAAAUCGCAAGAUGGAGCCAAUCCCCAAAAACCAUCUCAGUUCAGAUUGCACUCUGCAACUCGAGUGCAUGAAGUUGGAAUCGCUAGUAAUCGCAGAUCAGCACGCUGCGGUGAAUACGUUCCCGGGCCUUGUACACACCGGCUAC